GUGGAUUAAAAAUGGAAAACCAUUUAAUUGGCAAGCUUAUGAUAAUCGUAUGUUACAGCAACCGGGACGCGGUACACUUGUUAUAACAUCACCAAAAGAUGAAGAUCUUGGUCAAUAUCAAUGUUUUGCUGAAAAUGAAUUUGGUGUUGCCACAUCGAAUUCAGUAUUUGUACGUAAAGCAGAAUUAAAUGCAUUUAAAGAUGAUGCACCAAAAGAAGUUCAAGCUAACGAAGGUGCACCAUUUCAAUUACAAUGUGAGCCACCAGAUGGUUGGCCAAAACCAACAGUUAAUUGGUUAAUUCAGGGUCUUGAUGGUGGUAUAAAAAGUAUAAAUAAUUCACGUAUGACAUUAGAUCCAGAAGGUAAUCUAUGGUUCUCGAAUGUAACACGUGAAGAUGCAUCCGAUGAUUUUUAUUAUGCUUGCUCAGCAACAUCAGUUUUUCGUAAUGAAUAUAAAAUUGGUAACCGUAUUUUGUUAAAUGUUGUAUCAACUGGUAUAUCACCUGGUUUAAAUAAACAUGAACCAAAACGUCAAUAUGUUACAAGAAAACAAGAAACUGCUUUAAGAGGGAAAAAAAUUGAAUUAUAUUGUAUUUACGGUGGAACACCAUUACCUCAAAUAGUUUGGAAAAAAGAUGGCCGUGAUCUUCAUUGGAAUGAUAGGGUAACACAAGGAAAUUACGGUAAAAGUUUAGUAAUAAGACGUGUUAAUUCUGAUGAUGCUGGUUCAUACACGUGUGAAGCAUCGAAUGGUAUUGGUAACGCUCAAUCUUAUAAUAUAAAUUUGCGUGUAUUGUCAAUUCCGUAUUUUACUGUUGAGCCCGAAAUUCAGAAUGCAGCUGAAGAAGAAGAGGUAACAUUUAGAUGCGAAGCAUCUGGUGUACCAGAGCCAACAAUUAAAUGGAUUCAUAAUGGUAAACCUAUCGAACAAGCUCCACAAAAUCCUCGUAGAAUAGUUCAAAAUAAUCAAAUUACAAUUAAGAAUUUAGAAAAAAGUGAUACUGGCAACUAUGGUUGUAACGCAACAAAUUCCUUAGGCUAUGUAUAUAAAGAUGUUUAUUUAAAUGUUUUGGCUUUACCUCCAGAAAUCACUGAACCACCACAAAGUAAAUUAACUGUUGAUGGUCAAAAUGUUACAAUGAGAUGUCGUGUAUUUGGUGCUCCUAAACCAAUUGUGAAAUGGAUCCGUAACAACUUGGCUUUAACUGGUGGACGCUAUCAUAUAAUGGAUACUGGUGAUUUAUUGAUUCAAAGUGUUAGUUUUGCUGAUGCUGGAAACUAUGAAUGUUAUGCCAAAAAUAAGUUAGGUGAUGCCAGAGCUCAUGGUAAUUUAGAUGUCAAAGAACAUACAAGAAUUACAGAAGCACCAUCUGAUUACGAAGUUGCUGCUGGAAAUUCAGCUACAUUCCGUUGUAAUGCGGCCUCAGAUAAUAAUUUAGAAUUGGAAAUUUUAUGGCAAAAGAAUGGCGAAGACAUUGACUUUGAACAGGAAGUACGUUUUGUUAAAACUAAUGACCACUCAUUGACAAUAGCUAAAACAGUUGAAUUAGAUUCUGGUGUAUAUACUUGCGUAGCAAAAACCGCAUUAGAUUCAGCCAGUGAGCAAGCUACUUUAAUUGUUCAAGAUGUUCCUAACCCACCAGAAUUAAUUAGCACUGAUUGUUAUGCUGAAGAAGCAUUAAUUAGAUGGCAACCGCAAGGAGAUAAUCGUUCACCAAUUUUGCACUACACCAUACAAUAUAAUACCUCAUUUACGCCAGAAACAUGGGAAGUUGCAUUUGAAAAAGUUCCAUCAACUGAUUUCUCUCACAGAGUACCCAUGUCUCCAUGGGCUAAUUAUACCUUCCGUGUUAUAGCACAUAAUAAAAUUGGUCCUUCAAUCCCAUCACCUAAUGGUGAAUCAUGUUCAACACAGCCAGCUGUUCCUGGAAAAAAUCCGUAUAAUGUCAUAGGUAAAGGUACAAAUCCAAAUAACAUGGUAAUUUCAUGGACUCCAAUGCCCGAAAUUGAACAUAAUGGACCAGAUUUUCAUUAUCGAGUUUUUUGGAAGCGUGACAGUCCCGGAUCACAAUGGGAAAAUGUGGAUAUUUAUGAUUGGAAACAAAGUCAUUAUGAAGUUGUUAAUCAACCUACAUUCGUUCGCUAUAUAAUAAAGGUUAUAGCUAUUAAUCGACAAGGAGAAUCUAAUAUUGCGCCUGUUGAAACUUUUGGAUAUUCAGGAGAAGACAGACCAACGCAGGCACCAACUAAUUUUUCAAUGAUACAAGUAACAAAUAGCAUUUCAGCAUUAUUAAGUUGGAACCCAGUAGCACCAGAAACCGUUCGAGGUCAUUUUAGAGGUUAUAAAAUUCAAACAUGGACAGAAGCUGAAGGAGAGGAUAAUUAUAGAGAAAUUCAAGUUAAACCGGAUUCUAAUCAGGCUUUAGUAACCAAAUUCAAACCCGAUUCCAAGAAUUUUGCGCGUGUAUUAGUUUACAAUGAUGCGUUUGAUGGUCCACCAAGUGCCACAAUCGAUUUUGAUACUCCAGAGGGAGUUCCAUCAUCUGUCCAAUCAUUUGAAGCUCACCCAAUUGGUUCAUCAGCAUUCAACUUAUUCUGGAAGCCUCCGUUACAUCCAAAUGGUAAAAUUACCGGCUAUAAAAUUUAUUAUGAAGUUGUAGAUGGAACUGGCUUGGGUCCUAAAAUGGAACGUAAUCCUCAAAUAAGAAAUCCAAAUGCGCGAGAAGCUAAGUUAGGUGGACUAUUUCCAAAUACUAAAUAUCGAAUUUCUAUUGUCGCGACCACAAAAAUGGGCGAAGGAGCCGAAUAUUUUGUUGAAAGAAGAAGCGGAAUUACACCAGAAGUUCCGGAUGUUCCUAAAUUUAGUAUUGAAGAAUUACCCUCAGAUGAUGGUUAUGGCAUUGUUAAAGUUAAAUAUAUUCCAAAUAUUGAUGGCAAAUCAGGAUCUCAUUUCUACACCAAAUAUAGAGAAAAAGGAACAGAAAAAUUCCAUGAAGUGGAAGCUGAACCAAAUGAAAAUGAACAAAUAAUUAGAGGUUUAAAUGCUGAUAAGCAUUAUGAAUUCCAAGUAGUGGCAGCUGAUGGUAAUCUUGUAAAAGAAUCAGAAAUUCAAGAAAAAUUUGUCGUUGGAAAUGGUGUUAUAGCUAUACCAACAGACGACGUUGCUAAUGCUGGAUGGUUUAUUGGAAUGAUGUUGGCUUUAGCAUUUAUAAUAUUACUACUUAUAAUUGUUUGUAUAAUUAGAAGAAAUCGUGGUGGAAAAUAUGAUGUACAUGAUCGUGAAGUAGCGAACGGAAGACGAGAUUAUCCAGAAGAGGGAGGUUUCCAUGAGUAUUCACAGCCCUUGGAUACAAAGAGUACUGGUAGGCAGUCAGUUAGUUCAACAAGUAAACGAGGCCCAGAAAGUGAUACAGAUUCAAUGGCUGAAUAUGGUGAUGGUGAUACAGAAGGUAUGAAUGAGGAUGGUUCAUUUAUUGGACAAUAUGGACGUACGUGAUUGGGGUCUCUUUCUAUCUCAUCAUAUGAGUUUAUACACCACCGUUGAUGUUGUGUUUUUAUUAAUUAUUUUAAAGCAAAAGAAAAAGAAAAUAAAUUCUUUUUUGAGUAUUUUUUUAAAUUUAUCAUUUAAAUUUUUUACAUUCGAAGUUCAAAAUAGCUACAAAAUUAAUGUAUAAAAAUUGAAACAGUAAUUAUUAAAAUAAAUAAGAUUUUUUAUAUCAUCGAUUAUAAAGCGAAUCAAAAUACUACUACUACUUAUUUACUCUAUAACUACAAAAUUUCGAUUACAACGCUAUUGCAAUUAUUAUAAAACAAAUUCAAUAAAGUUGUUGUUACGGCUGAGGUCAAUUUACCGAGGACGGCUCCUUCAUAGGCCAAUAUAUACCAGGUUCAUAUUUUAAAUAAAAACCAAUAAAACACAAUGAAUAAUAUAGAAAACGAUACAUGUGUGUGUGUAUAAAAUAUUAUAUAAAAAAAAAUCAGUGAAAAUAUUUAAAAAUAAAAUCAAUUUUAUUUUUAUAAUUUUUUAUAAUUUAUAUUUUAGAAAAUCAUAAAAAAAAUUCCUUAAAUUAAAAACAAAAAUAAAAAUGAACUAAAAAUUCAAUUCAAAUUUAGUUGUUAAAAAAUGUAAUUUGAAAAUAUUAAGUAUAUAGUGUUUUAAAAAUAAAAAUAAAACUUGAAUGAAAAUGCUAAAAAAACGAAAAGAAUUUAAAAAAAAUUUAAAUUUAUAUAUAUUAUAUACAAAUAUAUAGUUACAUAGAAAUAAUAAUUUUAAUCUGUAAUCUAAAUUUUUAUUAAAAUCAUGUUGUCUUCAUUUUCAGAAAUAUUAUGACGAAUGUAAAUUUUUAUGUUUUUUUUUUAAUAAUAAAAAACUUCAUUUUAUAAUGCAAAAAUAAAGUACAUACCUAGAUAAUUUUAAAAUAUAUAACGA